rnacentral:rRNA from 1 species
AUUGAACGCUGGCGGCAGGCCUAACACAUGCAAGUCGAACGAGUGGCGGACGGGUGAGUUAUGUCUGGGAAACUGCCCGAUGGAGGGGGAUCACUACUGGACACGGUCGCUAAUACCGCAUACCAUCGGAUGUGCCCAGAUGGGAUUAGCUAGUAGGUGGGGUAACGGCUCACCUAGGCCACGAUCCCUAGCUGGUCUGAGAGGAUGACCAGCCACACUGGAACUGAGACACGGGCCAGACUCCUACGGGAGGCAGCAGUGGGGAAUAUUGCACAAUGGGCGCAAGCCUGAUGCAGCCAUGCCGCGUGUAUGAAGAAGGCCUUCGGGUUGUAAAGUACUUUCAGCGAGGAGGCGUUACCCGCAGAAGAAGCACCGGCUAACUCCGUGCCAGCAGCCGCGGUAAUUC